UCCGUAGGUGAACCUGCGGAAGGAUCAUUACCUAGAGUUUGUGGGCUUUGCCCACUGUCUCUUACCCAUGUCUUUUGAGUACUUACGUUUCCUCGGUGGGCUCGCCCGCCGGUUGGACAAUUUAAACCAUUUGCAGUUGCAAUCAGCGUCUGAAAAACAUAAUAGUUACAACUUUCAACAACGGAUCUCUUGGUUCUGGCAUCGAUGAAGAACGCAGCGAAAUGCGAUAAGUAGUGUGAAUUGCAGAAUUCAGUGAAUCAUCGAAUCUUUGAACGCACAUUGCGCCCCUUGGUAUUCCAUGGGGCAUGCCUGUUCGAGCGUCAUUUGUACCUUCAAGCUCUGCUUGGUGUUGGGUGUUUGUCUCGCCUUGCGCGUAGACUCGCCUUAAAACAAUUGGCAGCCGGCGUAUUGAUUUCGGAGCGCAGUACAUCUCGCGCUUUGCACUCAUAACGACGACGUCCAAAAGUACUUUUUACACUCUUGACCUCGGAUCAGGUAGGGAUACCCGCUGAACUUAAGCAUAUCAAUAAGCGGAGGA
rnacentral:rRNA from 1 species